CCCAGGUCUCCUUGUCUCCAAAUACACUAUUAAAAGUCAAGGAUCAAAGGCCGGACAAGCUUAUCACUGGAGGCAAUUAUUGAAUGAUGAAAAGAAGGAAGGAGGCAAAGAAGAAACGAAGUAAGAAAAGUCUUCCUUUUUAAGGGAUCAGGCUGGCUACACAGCACAUCCAUAUCCUGUAUAUGAGAAUGAGAGCAGAAUAGGGACCACUACAAUUGACUGUCAC
rnacentral:lncRNA from 10 species